CAGCUGGUGCCUCUGGCAUUGUGGAGAGGAGGUGGGGGAGGGAGCGGGCACCAACAUCCUGGACUCUGGAGCCUGGCAUGAGAGCAGUGCCAUUCCUAGGUUAUAGAUGAGCUAAAUUAGCUGUGACGCUCAUUAGCGGCAGCUCCUAAUUAGUGAAAAUUAAUAUUGGCUUUGAUAAAGACGUCGGCGCCAGCUCUCCAAGGCAGAGGCAUUAUCAUCCUUGUCAGCUGGGCUAACGACUGGACGAGAAAAAUUGAGGCUCAGAGAGGUUGAGGAACUUGCCCUGGGACCUCUGGAUACCAGGAUUUGGGCCCAGGCAGCCUGACUCAAGAGCCAUGAUCCUGACUUUGGUAUUAUCCUGCCCUUCCCUUCAACCUCACCCCCAAAAGGGGCACUCUGGAUGCCAGCCCCAUCGUAUACCAGCACGUAACAUCAUAUCCGGCACACAGUAGGUGAUCAGCAAAUACUUAUGAAUGAACACACAGGUGCACAGAGGGCCCUUGGUAUUCCUCCAUGGCAUUUAUAUUGACUUUUUAUGUCUUCCUUCUCCAUCCACUUGAUGCUGUGGAGAACCUGUACUUCCAUUUACAGCCCCUGAGUAAGUCCAGGACAAAGUCUCCAGGCUCUGUAUUCCAGAACACCGCCUCUCCAGUAGGGAAGACUCCGGGAGCAUCCUGCCUUCCCAGGCGGGAAUGGAGGCCAGGAGGCUUUGCCCAGACCUUGACUGUGCUAUUGCCAAGUGACCAGCUCUGGGGCCUGGCUCCUCUGCCACUUGGGAGAGGACUCGGCAGAUGGGCUUCCCUUCACCCCAGUCCCUGCUCCCCAGCCAGAGACCCUGAGUUCCAGCCCAGGGUAAUGAGGGGAAGUAACAGAUACACCUACUUUUAAUCCAAAUAAAGGAAAAAUGUUUGCCACCAUGGAGUUUAUAAAAAUAACAAUGCAUUAUUCGGGUAUUAAUAACAAUAAAGAUGUCAAACUGUCA
rnacentral:lncRNA from 10 species